UGCAAGUCGAACGGUAAGGCCCUUUCGGGGGUACACGAGUGGCGAACGGGUGAGUAACACGUGGGUAAUCUGCCCUGCACUUCGGGAUAGGCCUGGGAAACUGGGUCUAAUACCGGAUAUGACUUCUGGCCGCAUGGUCUGGGAGUGGAAAGUUUUUCGGUGCAGGAUGAGUCCGCGGCCUAUCAGCUUGUUGGUGGGGUAAUGGCCUACCAAGGCGACGACGGGUAGCCGGCCUGAGAGGGUGAUCGGCCACACUGGGACUGAGACACGGCCCAGACUCCUACGGGAGGCAGCAGUGGGGAAUAUUGCACAAUGGGCGGAAGCCUGAUGCAGCGACGCCGCGUGGGGGAUGACGGUCUUCGGAUUGUAAACCCCUUUCAGUAGGGACGAAGCGCAAGUGACGGUACCUGCAGAAGAAGCACCGGCUAACUACGUGCCAGCAGCCGCGGUAAUACGUAGGGUGCGAGCGUUGUCCGGAAUUACUGGGCGUAAAGAGCUCGUAGGCGGUUUGUCACGUCGUCUGUGAAAUCCCUCGGCUUAACCGGGGGCGUGCAGGCGAUACGGGCAGACUUGAGUACUACAGGGGAGACUGGAAUUCCUGGUGUAGCGGUGAAAUGCGCAGAUAUCAGGAGGAACACCGGUGGCGAAGGCGGGUCUCUGGGUAGUAACUGACGCUGAGGAGCGAAAGCAUGGGUAGCGAACAGGAUUAGAUACCCUGGUAGAAUCACUAGUGAAUUC
rnacentral:rRNA from 1 species